rnacentral:rRNA from 1 species
GUUAUAUGGUCAAGUGAAGAAGCGCAUACGGUGGAUGCCUUGGCAGUCAGAGGCGAUGAAAGACGUGGUAGCCUGCGAAAAGCUUCGGGGAGUCGGCAAACAGACUUUGAUCCGGAGAUCUCUGAAUGGGGGAACCCACCCAGCAUAAGCUGGGUAUCACACACUGAAUACAUAGGUGUGUGAGGCGAACCAGGGGAACUGAAACAUCUAAGUACCCUGAGGAAAAGAAAUCAACCGAGAUUCCCUAAGUAGUGGCGAGCGAACGGGGACUAGCCCUUAAGUUGAUUUGAGAGUAGCGGAACGCUCUGGAAAGUGCGGCCAUAGUGGGUGAUAGCCCUGUACGCGAAACUCUCUUGUCAAUGAAAUCGAGUAGGACGGGGCACGAGAAACCUUGUCUGAACAUGGGGGGACCAUCCUCCAAGGCUAAAUACUACUGACUGACCGAUAGUGAACCAGUACCGUGAGGGAAAGGCGAAAAGAACCCCGGAGAGGGGAGUGAAAUAGAACCUGAAACCGUAUGCGUACAAGCAGUGGGAGCGGACUUUGUUCCGUGACUGCGUACCUUUUGUAUAAUGGGUCAGCGACUUAUAUUCAGUGGCGAGCUUAACCGAAUAGGGGAGGCGUAGCGAAAGCGAGUCUUAAUAGGGCGCUUUAGUCGCUGGGUAUAGACCCGAAACCGGGCGAUCUAUCCAUGGGCAGGUUGAAGGUUAGGUAACACUGACUGGAGGACCGAACCGACUACCGUUGAAAAGUUAGCGGAUGACCUGUGGAUCGGAGUGAAAGGCUAAUCAAGCUCGGAGAUAGCUGGUUCUCCUCGAAAGCUAUUUAGGUAGCGCCUCGUGUAUCACUGCUGGGGGUAGAGCACUGUUUCGGCUAGGGGGUCAUCCCGACUUACCAAACCGAUGCAAACUCCGAAUACCGGCAAGUGUCAGCACGGGAGACACACGGCGGGUGCUAACGUCCGUCGUGAAAAGGGAAACAACCCAGACCGUCAGCUAAGGUCCCAAAGUUAUGGUUAAGUGGGAAACGAUGUGGGAAGGCUUAGACAGCUAGGAGGUUGGCUUAGAAGCAGCCACCCUUUAAAGAAAGCGUAAUAGCUCACUAGUCGAGUCGGCCUGCGCGGAAGAUGUAACGGGGCUCAAACCAUACACCGAAGCUACGGGUUCAUCUUAGGAUGAGCGGUAGAGGAGCGUUCUGUAAGCCUGUGAAGGUGAGUUGAGAAGCUUGCUGGAGGUAUCAGAAGUGCGAAUGCUGACAUGAGUAACGACAAUGCGAGUGAAAAACUCGCACGCCGAAAGACCAAGGUUUCCUGCGCAACGUUAAUCGACGCAGGGUUAGUCGGCCCCUAAGGCGAGGCAGAAAUGCGUAGUCGAUGGGAAACGGGUUAAUAUUCCCGUACUUCUAGUUACUGCGAUGGAGGGACGGAGAAGGCUAGGCCAGCACGGCGUUGGUUGUCCGUGUUUAAGGUGGUAGGCUGGUUUCUUAGGUAAAUCCGGGAGAUCAAGGCCGAGAGCUGAUGACGAGCGUUCUUUUAGAAUGCGAAGUGGUUGAUGCCAUGCUUCCAGGAAAAGCUUCUAAGCUUCAGGUAACUAGGAACCGUACCCCAAACCGACACAGGUGGUUAGGUAGAGAAUACCAAGGCGCUUGAGAGAACUCGGGUGAAGGAACUAGGCAAAAUGGCACCGUAACUUCGGGAGAAGGUGCGCCGGUGAGGGUGAAGCAUUUACUGCGUAAGCCCAUGCCGGUCGAAGAUACCAGGCCGCUGCGACUGUUUAUUAAAAACACAGCACUCUGCAAACACGAAAGUGGACGUAUAGGGUGUGACGCCUGCCCGGUGCCGGAAGGUUAAUUGAUGGGGUUAGCGCAAGCGAAGCUCUUGAUCGAAGCCCCGGUAAACGGCGGCCGUAACUAUAACGGUCCUAAGGUAGCGAAAUUCCUUGUCGGGUAAGUUCCGACCUGCACGAAUGGCGUAACGAUGGCGGCGCUGUCUCCACCCGAGACUCAGUGAAAUUGAAAUCGCUGUGAAGAUGCAGUGUAUCCGCGGCUAGACGGAAAGACCCCGUGAACCUUUACUAUAGCUUUGCACUGGACUUUG